rnacentral:rRNA from 1 species
GACGAACGCUGGCGGCGUGCUUAACACAUGCAAGUCGAACGGAAAGGCCCUGCUUUUGUGGGGUGCUCGAGUGGCGAACGGGUGAGUAACACGUGAGUAACCUGCCCUUGACUUUGGGAUAACUUCAGGAAACUGGGGCUAAUACCGGAUAGGAGCUCCUGCUGCAUGGUGGGGGUUGGAAAGUUUCGGCGGUUGGGGAUGGACUCGCGGCUUAUCAGCUUGUUGGUGGGGUAGUGGCUUACCAAGGCUUUGACGGGUAGCCGGCCUGAGAGGGUGACCGGCCACAUUGGGACUGUGAUACGGCCCAGACUCCUACGGGAGGCAGCAGUGGGGAAUAUUGCACAAUGGGCGGAAGCCUGAUGCAGCAACGCCGCGUGCGGGAUGACGGCCUUCGGGUUGUAAACCGCUUUCGCCUGUGACGAAGCGUGAGUGACGGUAAUGGGUAAGGAAGCACCGGCUAACUACGUG